rnacentral:rRNA from 1 species
AUUGAACGCUGGCGGCAGGCCUAACACACGCAAGUCGAGCGGCAGCGGGAAAGUAGCUUGCUACUUUUGCCGGCGAGCGGCGGACGGGCGAGUAAUGCCUGGGAAAUUGCCCAGUCGCGGGGGAUAACAGUUGGAAACGACUGCUAAUACCGCCUACGCCCUACGGGGGCAAGCAGGGGACCUUCGGGCCUUGCGCGCUUGGAUAUGCCCAGGUGGGAUUAGCUAGUUGGUGAGGUAAUGUCUCCCCAAGGCGACGAUCCCUAGCUGGUCUGAGAGGAUGAGAGGCCGCACUGGAACGGGGACACGGUCCAGACUCAUACGGGAGGCAGCAGAGGGGAAUAUUGCACAAUGGGGGAAACCCUGAUGCAGCCAUGCCGAGUGUGUGAAGAAGGCCUUCGGGUUGUAAAGCACUUUCAGCGAGGAGGAAAGGUUGGUGCCUAAAACGUAUCAACUGUGACGUUACUCGCAGAAGAAGCACCGGCUAACUCCGUGCCAGCCGCCGCGGUAACAC